rnacentral:rRNA from 2 species
GUGGGGAAUAUUGGGCAAUGGAGGAAACUCUGACCCAGCGACGCCGCGUGCGGGAUGAAGGCCUUCGGGUUGUAAACCGCUUUCAGCAGGGAAGAAGCGAAAGUGACGGUACCUGCAGAAGAAGCACCGGCUAACUAUGUGCCAGCAGCCGCGGUAAUACAUAGGGUGCAAGCGUUGUCCGGAAUUAUUGGGCGUAAAGAGCUCGUAGGUGGUUCGUCACGUCGGAUGUGAAACUCUGGGGCUUAACCCCAGACCUGCAUUCGAUACGGGCGAGCUUGAGUAUGGUAGGGGAGUCUGGAAUUCCUGGUGUAGCGGUGGAAUGCGCAGAUAUCAGGAGGAACACCAAUGGCGAAGGCAGGACUCUGGGCCAUUACUGACACUGAGGAGCGAAAGCGUGGGGAGCGAA